UGAGGAAUAUUGGUCAAUGGGCGCAGGCCUGAACCAGCCAAGUAGCGUGAAGGAUGACUGCCCUAUGGGUUGUAAACUUCUUUUAUUUGGGAAUAAAGUUUUCCACGUGUGGAAUUUUGUAUGUACCAUAUGAAUAAGGAUCGGCUAACUCCGUGCCAGCAGCCGCGGUAAUACGGAGGAUCCGAGCGUUAUCCGGAUUUAUUGGGUUUAAAGGGAGCGUAGGUGGACAGUUAAGUCAGUUGUGAAAGUUUGCGGCUCAACCGUAAAAUUGCAGUUGAUACUGGCUGUCUUGAGUACAGUAGAGGUGGGCGGAAUUCGUGGUGUAGCGGUGAAAUGCUUAGAUAUCACGAAGAACUCCGAUUGCGAAGGCAGCUCACUGGACUGCAACUGACACUGAUGCUCGAAAGUGUGGGUAUCAAACAGG
rnacentral:rRNA from 1 species